CCUACUGACACACUCUCGGGCAUCCCCGGAGCAGGGAUUGGACGAGAAACAGAAAGAGAGAGAGGAGAGAGCGCAAGUCUUUCCCACCCCUCCACAGCGGCUGUAUGCCAGCAGAGACCGAUAUGAGAGCAGGGCGGCGAUCAUGACCGGCCACUCGGACUCUUAGAUCACCUCAUACAGGCUCAACAACCUCCAAAGUCCACUUUUCUGUCAGUUUUCUUUCAUUACCCACCGUGGAUCCUGAAUGGAUUCUAGGCUCCAGAUUGGACCCGGGAUCCCGACACCGGACCCGACCGCCCGCGCACCCUGGAACAUCAGCUCCAUCAACCCGAACCGGCUCAUGGAGCUCGCUCCGGUGGCUACAACUGGUUCUGUGGUUCCAAACCACAUAUUUCCAACAGUAGAUGUGCCAGACCAUGCUCACUACACCAUUGGCGUUGUCAUCCUGGCCGUGGGAAUCACAGGAAUGCUGGGAAACUUCCUUGUCAUAUACGCUUUCUGCAGGAGCCGGAGCUUGCGGACGCCAUCCAACAUUUUCAUUAUUAAUCUGGCAUUCACAGACUUCUUCAUGUGUCUCACCCAGACACCCAUCUUCUUCAUCACCAGCAUGCACAAACAUUGGAUCUUUGGAAAGAAAGGUUGUGAGCUGUACGCCUUCUGUGGAGCGCUGUUCGGUAUCUGCAGCAUGAUGACACUGAUGGUGAUUGCAGUGGACCGGUACGUGGUGAUCACCAGGCCUCUCGCCUCCCUCGGGGUGAUGUCUCACAAGAAAGCUCUCAGCAUUGUGGCGGUUGCCUGGGUCUACUCCAUGGGCUGGAGCCUGCCCCCCUUCUUUGGCUGGAGCGCCUACGUCCCGGAGGGCCUGAUGACGUCUUGUUCCUGGGACUACAUGACGUUCACCCCUUCAGUCCGCUCCUACACCAUGCUGCUCUUUACCUUCGUCUUCUUCAUCCCUCUCUCCAUCAUCAUCUUCUGCUACUGCUGCAUCUUCAGAGCCAUCCGACACACAACGCGAGCGAUAACAAAGAUCACCUGUGAGGGGAACAGAGACUCAGCAAAGAGGUUCCAUAAAAUGAAAAGUGAAUGGAAGAUGGCCAAAAUCGCACUCAUCGUCAUCCUGCUUUUUGUCAUCUCCUGGGCCCCUUACUCCUGUGCAGCCCUCACUGCAUUUGCUGGAUACGCUGACUUGUUGACUCCUUACAUGAACUCUGUUCCUGCUGUGAUCGCCAAAGCAUCUGCUAUCCACAACCCCAUCAUAUAUGCCAUAACACACCCCAAAUACAGGUCAGCCAUCAGUAGGUAUAUUCCCUACCUCGGGGUGCUGCUCUGCAUGACCGGCAGAGAUCGCUUCAGCAGCAGCAGCUUCCAGUCGACCCGCCGAUCAACCCUCACCAGCCAGUCCGAGUGCAAAGGCCCCAGCAAGCCCCGCCACUCCUCCCAGUCCGAGAGCGAAUCAGCCCACCUCUCGGACACAGAGGACGACUGCUCGUCUCAAACGCCUGUCAGCCGUCAGGUGUCCAGUGAUGUCAAACAGGUGCGCCACACCAGCCAGAGGUCAAAGGUCAGAGGUCACGCCACAGGAGAGUUUGAGAGAGCCGCUGCCCACAACCCAGCUGACUCGGUCUUAUGUCACCUUUCUCAGAUCACUCGCUGAAGAUGGUCUAAUGGUGACAGACGAUGACCUUCAACCGGAUGAUGCUGGUUCUUGCCCCGACUGGAUAGCAGAGACCAAAGAACUACAGACUCUUCACAACCUGCUCAAACUCUUGGUACAGGACCUCACCACACGGGUCAAGAAGGUUUCCUUCUCAUUUCUACUCUGAAGCUCACCUUCUCCUGCUCAAACUGCUGACAAAUGUUUCUGCUGCUCUAAAGUCUGGUCUCCAGAACUUCCUAAAAACUCUCAAAGUCUCUUCUGCUGCAGGUUGCUUUGUAGAACUGUUGCAGAAAACCUCACUAAACCACAUGGAGGGGCCUCAAGAUAGUCGUCCAAAUGAAACCAUACAAAAACCAAACUAGCACAACCCAAACGCUAAAGUCUCCUGCAGCCUACCAGAGAACCUCUGAAAACAGAGAAUCAGGACAGGAACUCUUACCUUCUGGACAACCAACGUUGGUUCUCAAACAAGAAUACAGAAUGUGUCUGACCAAAAACCUCUGAAGACUCACUACAGCCAAGAUAAAGACACAGCUGCACCAAAUCCACUAAUCACUGCACACAUUAGAACCAUGUGCUAACUGUGGCUAAAGAACCACAUUUACCAAGACAACUAUCCAGUACAAAGCCCUAAAACACACCAAGAAACACAUUAAAGAUGAUUUUACUGCUGGAAGCUGCAAGCCAACGCCUAAAAAACAAACUAAAGAAACGGAGCCAAACCCGGUUCACUGGUGAACAGAAGCAGAGGAAAUGUUUGGCUGCAGCUAAAUAAAGCAGGAAGACACUGAGCUGCUCAGGUGUUCCUGAUAACACCAAGCAGCCACCUGGACAGCCAAUAGGAACACAGCUUCCUGGAAGUCCAGAGGGCUGGCUUAGUCAAAGAAAUUUAGUUUAAAGUUGAAGCAGAAAGUUAACAAAGAAAGUUGAAAACCACCUUCUGAUCCCUGGAGCAGUGAUAUACUGCAGGAUACACCAUAUGCUCUACUUUGAUGGACUGCAUGACAAAUUCUCCCAUAAAUUCUAUGCUGGCAAGAUUAAUCUGACAUUUUGAGACAUAAUAGUAUUCAGUUUCUGUCUGUAUGGAAACUGCAAAGCUAGAAUGAACAGUCAGUCAACUUGAUUUAGCAUCAAACCCCAAGGAGUAGGAAAGAGCUGCAAAGUUUUGUAAAAAAUUGAAACUAGACUGAAUAAAAAUAUAAACACAAGUUGUAUUAUUUUCUUAAAUUCUAUGUAUUAUUGUCAGCUAUAUUGGAAAUGGCAGCAGGUUGAUCAAGAAAACCAAAAUCCAGCGAAAUUCGCUGGAUUUUGGUAGAUUUUUUUGUGAAUGUUCUUAAGAAACAUUUUUAACAUUUCUUUUUUUCUACCAAAAAAUUUUCAAAGAUUUCCCAAAAAUGUUGAAAAUGUGGACAUCAGAAGUUUCACUGUGAAAAUAUAUUUUUUUCCACAUUUUUCAAACUUUAAAAAGGUCAAUCUUGACUCGCAGGACGACACCAGGGUUAAAGCUACACCCGAUGAGGUUGUGGAUAAAAUCAAUGGUCGGAAAUUUGUCACCAGUUGAUCAGCUGGAAAACUUUUUGUGCACGUUUGGCUAAUUUGGUUAAUUUGUAAACACAACAAGAGAAAUUAGAUUUUUAACUUGGUGUCUAAGACAGAGAAGAAGACCGUUUGCAUGUUGAAUUUAUAUUUUUGCUGCAUGUAUUCAUACAAUAUCAUACACAAACAAAAAUUGGAAUACUAAUUAGUAAAUUUUCGUCACAUUUUACUUUGUGCACAGUCAGGCUUGCUGCUUUUCCUGCUUUGUGCUCGGCUAAGAUAACUAUUUUUUCAUAUUAAGACAUAUGAAUGGUCUAAAUCCAGCUCAUGGCAAGAAAACAAACAACAUAUACACUCUGAACACCCUGAACCCAUAAAUCUCCUGGAGUAGAUUCUGGCAGAAUGCAGUAAAUGUAGUUGUCAUGACAUUUCCAGCUGAGUGUGUCAUUAAUAUGCAUGCCUGAGCGUUUAAAAAGCGCUGUCUUGAGUUAUUGAUUGGCUCAUGUUCACUGACUGCAGGGAGUUUUUUUCCUUCAUAGAAUCAGGUGAGCAGCAUCACAGCAGACUUCACAGUGUGCAGAAGGUGUGUGUGAUUCAGAGCCGAUUCACAAAAACGUCAUAAUGCGAUUUGAAGGGGGAAAAACAGAAAACUGCAGUCUGUCACUACUUCUUAAACAAAGUCUGCUGUUUGUGUCCGUUUAACCUCAGCAGCUGUGGUUGGUUGCUAAUUAAAUUGCUCCGUAUGACACACAAACACACAGACAGACUGAGCGCUGGCAGCUUAAUCAGCCUUGCUGGGUGUGUUUCUAGGGAAUUGGCGUCGGGUAAUUUGUUGUUUCCUUUCUCGAGCAUAACGAAAGGCUGCGAGAGUGAAAAGUGAAUGACAUCAGCGCACAGAGACUGAUUACAGAUAAUAGAGCGCUGGAAGCAUGCAGAGUGCUAGCAGGGAGAGAGAGGGAGGUAGGAAGAGAGGGAGAAUGUGUUGCAGUAAGAGGGGUCUAUAUUGGCGAUAUGAAUCGGCAGUGAAGCAUUCUGGGGCUUCGUGUUUCAGGCCUUAUACGGGCCAGGGCCCCUGUGUCCCUGCUCGUCUCUGCUAUUCUUAGGCUGUCUGUCCCUCACCCUCAGCAACCCUGCAGGCAAGAAAACUCUCCUCCACCUUAAUAUUAACUUUUAAUGUUGACUUUUGAGCCUUUGCACUUAGCUAGACGGGAGGUUUUGAUUUCAGGAGGCUCCACGAGCACCUGACCCACCCACCCACUCCACCAGCACCAUCACCACCCCAGGGUGUUUGUCCUGAGAGCUGGGAGCAGACAAGGAGAGACGGUAGUGAAGCCAGGGGCUGACGGAGGAGGAGCGACCACCGAGGCGACCGGCUGGGACAAAAGGAUAGCAGGCAGGAGGACGGAGGACAAGGGCACGCCGAGCAGGAGGAGAAGCCAGCACAGUCAGCAGGAGUAGUUUCUCAGGAGGAGUGUUGACAUUUAGCCGAAGAUGAGCUCGUACACAGUGACUCUGAAUGGCCCGGCUCCAUGGGGCUUCAGACUACAGGGGGGAAAGGACUUCAAUAUGCCUCUCACCAUCUCCAGG